CUAAGCCAUGCGAGUCGAGAGGGUUCGGCCCUCGGCGGACUGCUCAGUAACACGUGGAUAAUUUGCCCUUAGGUGGAGGAUAAUCUCGGGAAACUGAGAAUAAUACUCCAUAGAUCUAGGAUGCUGGAAUGCACUUAGAUUGAAAGUUCCGGCGCCUAAGGAUAAGUCUGCGGACUAUCAGGUUGUAGUCAGGGUAAAGACCUGACUAGCCUACAACGGAUACGGGUUGUGAGAGCAAUAACCCGGAGACGAUAUCUGAGACACGAUAUCGGGCCCUACGGGGCGCAGCAGGCGCGAAACCUUCACACUGCGCGAAAGCGCGAUAAGGGGAUCCCAAGUGCCAGCUCGUAAGAGUUGGCUGUUUCUCUGUCUAAAAAGCAGAGAGAGUAAGGGCUGGGUAAGACGGGUGCCAGCCGGCGCGGGUAA
rnacentral:rRNA from 1 species